AUUGAACGCUGGCGGCAGGCUUAACACAUGCAAGUCGAACGAGUGGCGGACGGGUGAGUAAUGCUUGGGAAUCUAGCUUAUGGAGGGGGAUAACUACGGGAAACUGUAGCUAAUACCGCGUACCAUAGGAUGAGCCCAAGUGGGAUUAGGUAGUUUGUGAGGUAAAGGCUCACCAAGCCGAUGAUCUCUAGCUGGUCUGAGAGGAUGACCAGCCACACUGGGACUGAGACACGGCCCAGACUCCUACGGGAGGCAGCAGUGGGGAAUAUUGGGCAAUGGGGGAAAGCCUGAUGCAGCCAUGCCGCGUGUAUGAAGAAGGCCUUCGGGUCGUAAAGUACUUUCAGUCGGGAGGCGGUACCGACAGAAGAAGCACCGGCUAACUACGUGCCAGCCGCCGCGGUAAUUC
rnacentral:rRNA from 1 species